AUUUUAUAUUCACGUAAUAAUAUGUUUUAUAUUUAUAAUAAAAUAGAAUUUAAUCAUUUAACCGGUGACUCAGGCCAUUGAUAUCAAUGUAAAUCAGUAACAUACAUUUAUGUCUAAAACCUAACCAAACUUAUGGUUCUCGUGAUAAAUAUAAAAAUUUGAUUCUACUCUUCUAUUUGUGAUUUAAUUUGAUUCGUUCUGUUUUAAAAGCAUAAGAAAAUAUUUCAAAAUGGCUCAAGGUAAAAUGAAAGUUAAAGCGAAGUUGCCCAGUGAUAUUAAGAAGACCAAAAAAAAGGGAGCAGCAAUUACCAAAAAAAAGAACUGUCCAGUCAAAUCCAAAAAGGAUAAAACAGAAGCGAAUAAAUUAAAACAAAUGGUGACAAAGACGUUGAAUAAAGCAAUUGAAGAAGAUCUUCGUGCCAAAGUUGAAUCAAAUAUCAAACUCUCCAAAGCUCAAGAAGCCGUGGCCAAGUACCAUUCUACUAAAACUGAAUAAUGGUAUAACAAAAAUGUGAAUCCUUGUUUGGACUAGGUGAGAAGAUAGAAACCUUCUAUAAUAAAAUAAAACAAAACUGUUAUUAAGUGAUAUUGUUGACUUGUGAUAAAUAAAUAAUGAUAAGUUGAA